AUGUCCAUCUUCUUUCUGUUACAGGAUUCUAUCAGGUCCCACAUUGUGUUUCAUCAUCAUGUCUCCUUAGUCUCCUCCAAUCUGUGACAGUUUUUUGGUCUUUCCUUGUCUUUUAUGACCUUGGCAUUUUGAAGAGUUUAAGUCUGUUUUCACCUCCAGGUUCCCCCUCCAUCCAUUCCUUUUCCUGACUAUUUGUCUGUUGAACAACCCACAUUUGACCUGGAGAAUCUCCCACAGCCUGGACUUUGCUUGCUGCGUACUCAUGGUGUACCUUAGCAGCUUCCUCCUUUGUUUCCGGGAGAUUGGCAGCUGGAUUCAAAGACUGGAUCAGACUUUGGUUUGAGCCUUUUGGCAAGAUAUUCAUUUACUUUUUUAAAAAAUUGAAGUAUAGUUGAUUUGCAAUGUUGUGUUAGUUUCCGGUAUCCAGCAAAGUGAUUCGGUUCUAUUUAUUUACUUUUGGGGGGGGGCCAGUAAUUAGUUUUGUUUGUUUGUUUGUUUAUUUAAUGGAGGUACUUGGGACUGAACCCAGGACCUUGUGCAUGCUAAGCACGCGCUCUACCCCUGAGCUCUACCCUCCCCAGCUUUUCAUUUACUUUUUUAACACAGAACAACCCCACUUCCUACCCUCCUUUUUGCCUGCCAUUGACCUGCUGAAGACUGUUCUCCCUUGGAGUAAGCCAGUCUUCCACCCCUCAGCACCAGCUCCCACAAGCAGGGGUGAAGAUGUAGAGCUGGGUUCGGAGUUCCCUGAUGGUUGUUGCUGAAGUACAUCUUGCAAUCAUAAGAACAAGAGCCAGUCCAACCACAACAUUGACUCCACUGAGGGAAAUGUCUGUGGGGGCUGCCCACAAGUAGUCUAGGCCCAGGCAUACCUUGGAGAUGUUGUGGGUUUGGUUCCAGAUCACUGCAACAGAAUGAAGUUCACAAUAAACUGUCCUCCCCAGCCUGCCCUCAACUACAACCACUGGAAUUCCCAUUGCCCAUCUCAGCUGUGUGCCAGCUCCCCUGGGACUUAAUGGAUGACUUGGGUGAAGGGAAUCGAGGACCCAGGUGAUCCAGAGAUACUGGAAAGCUCACCGACAGUGGUAAUGGGCUGAUUGAAAGGCAGGAAGCCCCAGGAUCCUCGAGUGAAGCCCUGGCCAUGGAAGGUACAUAAGGAAUAGGACGGGACAAGGUAUGAUCUGCAAAGAGAGGGGCAGAAGUGUAAGUUCUCCCAGGAGCCCUUCCUCCACCCUCAUUGAAACCCUCUCCAAGGCUGACAGCACUGGAGACUCUCCAGAGUUCUCUUCCUUUUGGGUCAUCAGGGAGAGCUGCCGCCAACCAGCUUCCUCCUUCAAGCCACCUGGCAAAGGGAAGUCAUUGGCUGGGGUUUCUGGAGAGUAAGCUGACCUAGGAUCCUAUCCAAGCCAAAUUGGAAUGCAGAUGAACCAUGGAAUGAGGAGGACAUCCUGUUAAUUAACAAGAGUCACGGAGUCUUUCCUCACUUCUUCCCAUCUUUGCCCUGUGCUGACCUAUCAUUCUCUCCUGGGAUGGCAGAAAUUGCUUUCAGGCCACAGUCGCUGAGAUACCGCUGUUCCAGGUUCAUGCCAACCUCAGAGGGGAGUGGAACCAUCCUCUGGGACUCCAUGGUCCCACCUGGCCCCAGAUAUAAAUGUAUCUUACCUUUUAAUGUUUGGCUUCAGUUGUUUUCUGGUGUCCUGAAAGAUGACUAUUCAUCUAGAGAGAAGGACUUUUGUCACAGUACCCCGGCUUGAAGCCUGGCUUGGGGAACUUGUCCUGGAUUCUGAUGGAGACCUAUCCUUUAUCCCUUGACGUCUUACAGAAGUUCGAAAGGGUUCCCAGGAGACGAAGGUCAUGGAACAGGAAGGUACCAGCUAAUAUGAAAGACUUAAAAGUGUCUUUGAGAUGCCCUGGGAUGAGAGCUGCUACACAAAUGACUGGCCAAAAGAAGCCAACUGACAUCCCAGAAAGAAUCCAGCAAAGUUCAUCUGAGCUGUCCCAUUCAUGCCUCCUUUUCCCCACAUUUGGUUUUGAUCUGUCUUUUUUUUAAUGGAGUUACUGGGGAUUGAACCCAGGACCUCAUGCAUGCUAAGCAUGUUCUCUACUGCUGAGCUAUUUCCCUCCCCAGCUUUGAUCUUUUUGGAUUUGGCUUUUGCUUUCUGCUUUCCACUUUGGCUUUGAUCCUGAACUCCAGGCAUCCACUUCCUCCUCCUCUGAAAGGAUUCCUGGCAACUCUUAUGAAUGCCCAUAAUUUACCCUGCUGCCUAACCAAACCCUGCCUCCCAGAUCUUGGACAGAACCUGAGGCUUGGCCCUAUACUCCUGUUCCUAGCCCAGUGUGUUCCAGACUCAUGUUCUACUAAGUCCUCUUCCAGCAGAGAGUGAGAAUUGGACCGACCGCCAGGGCUUCUUGGAGUUGGGAGCCCUAAGGGCACAGAGCUAUAGGUACUGGCCCUGAAUCCAACCCCCAGGAAGACACAGGAAGCCCCUGCUCCUUGGAAGCAGCCAGAAAGGUGAGCGGGAAAUUGGCUGAGGCUGGGGGCAUCCGCCCAGAAACCAGGAAGGAUGAAGACACAGGGAGCCCCUGCGCCUCUAUUCCCUGUUAUCUACCAAGAGCCAGACCUUGAAAACACCAUCCCCCUUGUGGAAUCUAUUAGAACUGCAUGGCACCUCAGGAGACCAUAGGUGUCCUUCCAGGGCAAGCCUAGGAGACCAGCCUGUUUGAUCAUCAUCUGUGUCACUCAUGGUGACAGAAGUGGAUUUAAAGAUAUAGGAGAAACAGAGGCCAAAAUUGGGAGAGCAUAACUUUGUGGAACAAUGGGUUCUGUGAUAGAACGCAAGGGUAUCUGAGGCAAGAAUGAAGAACGACCAUGUGUAUGUGUGGUCCUCCCUGAGAUAUUAUGGCCUUGACACCGGGAGAUGCUUCCAACAUCUUGUCCAUGUUCAAGUUAGAAGUUUUGGAGUGGAUUAUCAAGGAGGGAGUUCACAUAAGGUUUCUUCUUCCAUCCCUUUUUUGUUUCUUACAAGUCAUCUAUUGAAGAAGCUGGAGCAUUUGACCUGUGGAUUUUGCUGACGGCCUGGUUAUGAUGCGGUCCAACACGUUCUAUAUUUCUGCAGACUGCGAAGUGGAUACAGAGCUUGAUCUGACUCAGGGUUGAUCCCUUUGGCAUAAUUUAUAGGUGGUGCUGUCUUCCUCUAUCAGGUGGCAUAUAAUAUCUGUGUCUCAUAUGUUGUGAUGUUAGCAGCUCAGUGCCUAGAUUCAUUAAUUUCCCAGGGUUUUCAAAAAGGUGAUACUCAACUGUAACAUUUCUUUUGUAUUAAGUAGAAUACUUUCAUAAAGAGAGAUUUCCCAAUAUCUACUACAAUUUAGUUACCCAGGAAAAAAGACAAGAUUAAUCCUUUAUUCUUUCACUUUAUCUACUGUUUCUCAGGGUAAUAAAUUAGUUCCUAAUC